CUACGGGAUGCAGCAGUGAGGAAUUUUGCGCAAUGGGGGAAACCCUGACGCAGCAACGCCGCGUGAGCGAAGAAGGCCUUCGGGUCGUAAAGCUCUGUCAAGUGGGAAAAAAAUUCUUUGAUGAACAGUCAAAGGACUUGAUGGUACCACUGGAGGAAGCACCGGCUAACUCCGUGCCAGCAGCCGCGGUAAUACGGAGGGUGCAAGCGUUGUUCGGAAUUACUGGGCGUAAAGAGCGUGUAGGCGGUUUGACAAGUCAGAUGUGAAAGCCCCGGGCUCAACCCGGGAAGUGCAUUUGAAACUGGUUCACUAGAGUAUGGGAGAGGAGAUUGGAAUUCCUGGUGUAGAGGUGAAAUUCGUAGAUAUCAGGAGGAACACCCGUGGCGAAGGCGAUUCUCUGGACCAAUACUGACGCUGAGACGCGAAAGCGUGGGGAGCAAACAGGAUUAGAUACCCGCGUAGUC
rnacentral:rRNA from 1 species